rnacentral:rRNA from 1 species
CCUACGGGGGGCUGCAGUGGGGAAUAUUGGACAAUGGGCGAAAGCCUGAUCCAGCCAUGCCGCGUGUGUGAAGAAGGCCUUCGGGUUGUAAAGCACUUUCAGUGGGGGAGAAAGCCUUGGGGCUAAUACCCUCGAGGAAGGACAUCACCCACAGAAGAAGCACCGGCUAACUCCGUGCCAGCAGCCGCGGUAAUACGGAGGGUGCGAGCGUUAAUCGGAAUUACUGGGCGUAAAGCGGGCGUAGGCGGUCUGAUAAGCCGGUUGUGAAAGCCCCGGGCUCAACCUGGGAACGGCAUCCGGAACUGUCAGGCUAGAGUGCAGGAGAGGAAGGUAGAAUUCCCGGUGUAGCGGUGAAAUGCGUAGAGAUCGGGAGGAAUACCAGUGGCGAAGGCGGCCUUCUGGACUGACACUGACGCUGAGGUGCGAAAGCGUGGGUAGCAAACAGGAUUAGAUACCCGAGUAGUC